UCCUACGGGAGGCAGCAGUGGGGAAUUUUGGACAAUGGGCGAAAGCCUGAUCCAGCAAUGCCGCGUGUGUGAAGAAGGCCUUCGGGUUGUAAAGCACUUUUGUCCGGAAAGAAAUCCCUGGCUUUAAUACUGUCGGGGGAUGACGGUACCGGAAGAAUAAGCACCGGCUAACUACGUGCCAGCAGCCGCGGUAAUACGUAGGGUGCGAGCGUUAAUCGGAAUUACUGGGCGUAAAGCGUGCGCAGGCGGUUUGCUAAGACCGAUGUGAAAUCCCCGGGCUCAACCUGGGAACUGCAUUGGUGACUGGCAGGCUAGAGUAUGGCAGAGGGGGGUAGAAUUCCACGUGUAGCAGUGAAAUGCGUAGAGAUGUGGAGGAAUACCGAUGGCGAAGGCAGCCCCCUGGGCCAAUACUGACGCUCGUGCACGAAAGCGUGGGGAGCAAACAGGAUUAGAUACCCUGGUAGUCCACGCCCUAAACGAUGUCAACUAGUUGUUGGGGAUUCAUUUCCUUAGUAACGUAGCUAACGCGUGAAGUUGACCGCCUGGGGAGUACGGUCGCAAGAUUAAAACUCAAAGGAAUUGACGGGGACCCGCACAAGCGGUGGAUGAUGUGGAUUAAUUCGAUGCAACGCGAAAAACCUUACCUACCCUUGACAUGGUCGGAAUCCCGCUGAGAGGUGGGAGUGCUCGAAAGAGAACCGGCGCACAGGUGCUGCAUGGCUGUCGUCAGCUCGUGUCGUGAGAUGUUGGGUUAAGUCCCGCAACGAGCGCAACCCUUGUCCUUAGUUGCUACGCAAGAGCACUCUAAGGAGACUGCCGGUGACAAACCGGAGGAAGGUGGGGAUGACGUCAAGUCCUCAUGGCCCUUAUGGGUAGGGCUUCACACGUCAUACAAUGGUCGGAACAGAGGGUUGCCAACCCGCGAGGGGGAGCUAAUCCCAGAAAACCGAUCGUAGUCCGGAUUGCACUCUGCAACUCGAGUGCAUGAAGCUGGAAUCGCUAGUAAUCGCGGAUCAGCAUGCCGCGGAAAAUACGUUCCCGGGCCUUGUACACACCGC
rnacentral:rRNA from 1 species